rnacentral:piRNA from 1 species
UGCCAGGAUCACUGCACGGUUUUGAGAAGC